UAUAGCAAUUAGGUCUAUAGACAUUUUAUAAAAAUAGGUCGAGUUGAAAUGUAGUUUCAAGCUUUUAAAAAAAAAAAUCAAAACCGUGUUGUAAUUAACUGUUUUUUAUAAUUAUAAUAUUAUAAAACUUAUUUGAGUAUUGCCUACUAUUAAAUAAACUAGUUAUUUUUACUAUAGAAAUCACGUCUACGGUCCACGUUGUCGACGUGGGUCGACGUAGGUGGACGGGUCUGGUAUAUGGUAACUGCGAUUGGAUUUUAUAGUAUUCCUGAAUAUUUAAUAUAAAAUUCUGAUCUCACUCCGGUCGUGUUUGAUUGCCGUUAUGAGAGUGAGGAACAACAGCCUGCAACCUAAUGGCUAUUCUUUAAGAUUAUGCUCCGUGGUCAAAUUCCGGUCAGAAAAUUUUAAAUAUUUCGAAGGAGAAAGGACUGUCGCAUUGUUAUCAUACUGAUUCGCGCCGUUGAAGAAAAACACUAUCACCCAACAAAGAAAAAAGGGGGUGCCAUGCACUCGCAUUCAUUGGCGAGACGGUGGCCCAGAAACCUAGUCAACCCCAGAAAUUUACAUUUAUAAUUAUUACCUGCCUCAGCUGAAAAACGUGUUAUAUACAUAUAUGUAUGUAUAUGCAUAUCUUAGAUGCCAAAAUCGUGUCAUUAUUUUUAUUUCAGUCAUAAUAGUAUUGAACACUAUCAUUACUACAGCUUAAUAGCAAGUGCAUCGGUCAUUUAUACAAACCGUAUACGGGCGAACUACAAGAUAAAACACAAUUACGAACUUUAUAUUGUACACGAUUAAACGAUGCAAGUCCAAUGUGAUACAGGUCAUAGCAGAAAGGAGUUCACUAACCCAAUGAGAGAUGUGGAAAAAAAAAACAUAAAACGGGAAACAGCGUCAUGAGAACGCAUUGUCUAGGUAGAGCUCUUAUGCCAUGAAGGUAUCAAGGGUUCUCGAACAACUUGAAGGAGUAAAGGGCAGCCAGCGCGAGUAUGAACAACGAAUAAUGGGAAUGUGUGUUAUUUUCAAGAGUAGAACUUUUUACUGAAAAGGUUUAAUUGAUCUAUAUGAAUAUUAAAUUAGGUUAAUUAUUUGACGCAAACAUUAUGCAGCCAAAUUACAACUACGGAUACGAUAUUGUGUAUUUAUAUUGGAAUUAUUUUCUCAUUUUUUAAGCUGGUUAGCGCGAUUUUUGUUUUAAGCGUUACUGCU